GGCAGGAGGAAUGCUGGUGACAGGAGGAAUGCUGGUGACAGGAUGUCUCUGGGCAGGCCGGCCGUGUCACCGCAGCCAGAGCGCGCGGCUGAGGGCGAAAGUCAAUUUCCUGCUAAAUUAGCUCGGCUGUUUCUCUAAGAAAGGCUUUUUCAUUUUCGAGCAUUACUGUAGUCUCAUGGUUGCCUUUGGAAGAAAGGGAUUGUGACUUUAUACAGAGAUGAGAAAAUGUGACAGAGGAGGGCAAAGGGAAGGAGGCAAUUUUCCUCGAUGCUAGGAACAGAUAAAAUAUUCAGAGAGGAACAGUGUGGCUCAGCUUACAGAGAGAAGCCUGUUAACAGGAGUAGCUCCAGUUCCCAGUUUACAAGCUGCACUUCUGUCAAGGGAGGAAAGCAACACCUAAAAA